rnacentral:lncRNA from 1 species
CUGACAUCACUUCCGUUUCAACACUCUGGCCGGGCGAGGCUCGUGGGCUCGAGUUUCAGCCACGUAGGACCGGGUAGAACACAGAAAUUCUAGUUUCCUCCCGGGAUGAAAGGCUUCCUAGCACAAACACCACCCCUGGAGUUCCCGGUACAUCAAUACCAGCCUGGGGAUCACGUUCUCAUCAAGAGUUGGAAGAGGGAAAGCUUGAGCCAGCUUAGGAGGACCUUAUCUGGUACUCUUGAUGAACGAAACAGCAAUCUGAAUGGCUGAAAAAGGAUGGACCCAGCAUUCCAGGGAGAAAACUUGGCAUUCUUUGGGAAUCUAACAGGAUGCAGUGAACCCAAGCCUUUUCAAGAGCUCACCAAUCAGACUGCCCUUGUCUAUCCAUGAGCAGAUGUUUGAUAGUAUUGCGGAGGACCUCUAGUGGGUAUGCUGCCAAGCAACUGGAGUGGCACUUGGGCUCUAAUCCAGUUGUCUAUCCCUUUCACCCUGGCAUUUCAUCAGCCAAACAAAAACCAACUAACUCAGAAAAAAAG